CUGAGACGAUGCUCUGCGUGGUGCUGAGGAUCCAACCCACAGCUUUGUGCAUGCUAGGCAAGCACUUGAGCAUCUCAGCUGCACAGCCAGCCCAUGAAGCCCUUGUUUUCAGAAGAGGGGAAGUGUUAAUGCUGAGAAACAAGCUGCUGCUGACUGUUGUUGGGAGUUGGACUACAGACUAGAACUAAGUGAGGAAAGAUGGGGCCAAAGAAGCACAGGAAGAAGACAAAUCAGCAAGGAGAGGCUGUGGCUGACAGUCAGUGCAUUCAGAGAAACCUGUGGGAGGGAGAUACAGGGGACACGGAGCAUCACCAUGACUGCAGUGUCUAUAAAGGCACAAGAUGUCUCCAUAAAAUGCCACUCAAUGGAGCCCAGAGCUACACAGAUGUCAUUGAUGUUGUGCAAGCCCUGCAGACUCACUCAGACCCAACUAUCAGGUCCUACUUCACCGUUGGUGCCGUCACGAUAUAAGCGGGAAAUUCCAGAAAGUAAUUUACUGUAGUGAUUUACCAAUAUUCUAUUGAAAACCUAAGGAGUGGCACAUGGCACAGAGAGCACCGUAAAAGAAUUACAGGAACCACGACCACAGACAGCAAGUUACAGCCUGGGCUGCACAGAAGAUUCAGCACUCCAAUUUAGGGAGAACCUGACUCAAAAUAAAAAGCAAGAUUUAAAUAAAAGGUACUGGC
rnacentral:lncRNA from 1 species